rnacentral:lncRNA from 1 species
AAGCAAGCAACAAUGAGAAUCAUCUUUAAGAAAUCAUCGCUGUUAUAUUUAAUACAACUUCGAAUUUUGUCUUCCAACGCAUGAAGUGUGACAACAAAGGUUCCCAUAGGUAUCCGGGUUCGAUAUAGAAAUGCCUUGAGAUAGUUCACUUUAAGCUCUUCCAUAGACUCAAAAAUGCUGUCUUCAUUUCCAGCGUAACGUGCUUUGUGAAUAGGGCCAAUUGAAACAAUUCGAGGUGUGUAGGCUUUCAGAUUAGUUUCACGAAUGUCUGGUGGUACUCUAUAAAUUAAAUGCAUUGCAUAUCGACUCAAUACAUUUCUGGAGGUUCCACAUUUUGAAGCAUGUUGGUUAAUUUUGUCUCCAAACAUUGUCGUUCACUCAUUGCAUCACUUGUUUGUGCUUCCAUUUGGUUAAAAUUCUGUAGCGUUGAGAUUAAUAGAUCGACAUUAAUUGAUAACCAACCUGAUAGUUGGACCAAGUAUAAUAUUGAUAAAUUUCGUUAAAAUUUCCCUAGUUAUGCCACCAAGAAGAGGCAAAUUCAAAGGAUUAAAAUAAAAUGUGACAGAGACAUCGGAUGUCAUAUAUUAUGAAAAUUAUAGGGUAUACAACAAUUAAGAUAUGCGAAGGUAUGGGGGACUGUUUCCGGAUUCAUUAUAUUCAUUAUAUUUUUAUUAAAUUAAAAUACACGUGAUAACUUAAUAUAUUUUUAAAAAAAGUCACCUUUUGGAGAAAAAAAUUAUAUCUAUCUUUUUUUAAUAUUGUUCAAAAUAAUAUUUAUUUUUUAUUGACAGUUUUAGUAUAGUUAGCGAAAAAUUUGAAUUCGUGAUCUAUCUCUCCUUUUCUUAUCCCUCCAUCACUAGAUCAAUCUUAUAUUUCCUAAUCAAAAUAAUAUUACGUUUUUUUUUUUUUUUUCAAUUUGAUCCUUUUCUCUUUCUCAAUUAAAAAAAAUGUGUUCUUGUUUUUAGGGGUGUUGGUGAUGUAGUUUGGUUGCAUAAAAAAAUGGCUGCUGCAAUCAAUGUUGUAUAUACACUUUAAAUUUGAAUCCAAACUUUUAUUCAAAUUAUGGUCACCUUGAUGUUGCUUAUAAAUUAGAAGAUAACAAAAUGGAUUACUGUGUCAGUGUUUGACAUAAGCAUCUGCAUGCAGCAUUUCUAACUGCAGUAUGAAACAUCUCAUCAUGUAGCUAAGCAAAAGAAAAAAAGAAUGAAAUGUGUCAUUUUGGGUUAUACAAGAUUUCUUCCAAUAUUGUCAUACCAAAUCCAUGCUGCCUUAUGUCUGGGUUUCCAUAUCUUAGCUUACAGUUCUAGAUUGGACAUUGCCAUUGUGACUGUUACAAAUUUGUAGUUUUAUUAGGAGGAACUAAAAUGCUCUUAUCUCUUACAGGGAAGGUAACAAGUUUAGUAGCUAAAAAGGACUUGGCCAGAAAAAUAGAGGAAGCAUUAAGCAAGUCAAAUCUAUGAAGAAAGGGGUUAACGUUUGAAAAUCAGGAAAUUCUUCUUCAAAGAAGAGGCAAUCAAGUAAAAUGGUCAGUGCCACCAAAUCCACGAAUUCUAAACUCAAUGUUGAGGGGUUUAGGGGGAAAAAUUCAUCUCCAAGUAACAGAGAAUCAGGUUUGUAAAGUGGAUUGUGGUCCAUAUUGUACCGUGUAGGAAGUAAAUGGCUCUCGUUUUUGUAUUAGAUAAGACUUUUUUUUUUCUGCAGUAAAAAUGGUAUUAUAAUUUAAUUGUUUUAGUUCAUGCUUUUAUGUGCCUAGAAAAUAUAGCAGUUUCUGUUUUUAUCAUCUAUUGUCACGGUAGGGACUAAAAUAAGUGAAGAAGAAUAUUGUAUGGAUCAAAAUCAAAAGAUAGGACUAAAAAAAGUGUCAUAUUUACAGGAAUAGAAAACAUAUUUGGGCAAUUAUUUUAUUGCAUAUAUUGCUGAAAUUAAUCCAAUAUUUGUACCAUAUCUGUAGAUAACUAAUUAAGAAAUCUUUUAGUUCGCCUUUUUUUGUUCUUGAUUGUAGUCUAUAGCUCUAGGUAAUUGUUUGGUUAAAAGUUUUAGAUGUUUAUUUAUAGGGCUAAUUAUCAUUUUUGGUUCAUUAUUUUUGAGUUAUUUUUUUAUUUUGAUAGGUUUAAUUUUAAAAGUUUUAUUUUAAUUCUUUAUGUGUUUUUGAAAGUUUUAUUUUAAUACAUUAAGUUUUAAAUUUUUUUUGGUUAUUUAUACUUUUUGAAACUUUUAUUUAAAUAUUUUUUUAUUUUCUAUUAAAAAUAUUAGUGUUUUGUCAAUCUUUUUAAUAUUGAUGUAUGGGGCUAAAUAUAAGUAACACUAAAUGAGUUUAAUUAAUAUCUUCCGUUUGCUUUGUUUAAAAAAAACACUAAAGUUUAGGCUUGACUUGUCUUAUUUAGAAAAACUAAAGCUUAAGUUCGGCUUGUCUUACCUUAUUCAAUUCACUUAUAACUUAAUUUUCUUAAUUUCAAAAGGAAAUUAUUAAAUUAUUUAACUUAACCAAUUUAGUAUUUAAUAAAAAAAUUUAAUAACCUAGAAAUAAAAAUAAGUAUUAAACAUGAGAUAUGAUAUGCUGAGAUUUAUGUAAUUUUAAUUUUCUAUGUUUUAUAUUUAUAUAUAUAUAUAUAUAUAAACGAAUUAUUCAUUAGUCAAAUUUGAGAAGUUUGCAAAUAUUUUGAGUCUUUUAUCCCCUUAAUUGUAACACUUUCACCCUCAUCUUAUUUUUAUUAAUUGUUUUGUCAUUAUUUCUAAUCAACAAUGUAAUGGAAAACUUAAAUUAGGAGAGACACAAUUAAGAAUAUUGAGUAUAUUCACUUAUAAUUUUUAAUAAUUUAUUUGGAACAAAGUGAAACAAUUGUAAAAAUAUUCAAAAUACACUUAAAAGUAGUUAUUAGGGCAAAUUAAUAGAAGUAAUUAAAAGUGUGAGAAAAAUACAACUCUAAGAUUCAAAUAGUAAUCAGAAUAAUAAAAUAUUAUUUAAGAUUUUUUGGAAUUAAUUAAAAUUUUUGUGUAAAAUGAUGAAAAUGUCCUUAAUUGACUGCAAAUGUAGAACCGUAGACUUUUUAACCAAAAUAAAAUUUAAGAAAUACUCUACAUUUUAAUUUUAAUUAUAAAAAUAAUUUAAAGCUUAAAAAUCUAAAAAAUUCAACAUCUAAUUUUUUAACUAAAGUGAUUUAUUUCAUAUUUUCAAUAACAAUAUAAUAAUGACUAAAUAGUUUGUUGGUCAAAUAUAUAUAAUAUAUUUUUAGAUUUAAUUUUGUUCUCUUAUUGUUUUUGAAUUUAAUUUAGUCAUCUAAUUUUUUAAAAAAAUUCAAUUUGUACAUGCGAUCUAAAUUGAAUCAUGGUUUUCAAGAGAUCACAUUUUAUGAUGGCUUAAAAUCAUUUAGUGGUGAUUUUAAAUCUCUAAAAAAUAUAUAUUUAGAUGGCAGGACAAUAUUUGCAUUACACAACCACGGUUUUAAAAAUCAAAUGAUCAAAUUCAACAAAAAAAAAAAGACUAAAUCAAACUAAUCUUAAAAAUAAGAAGAUGAAAUCAAAUAAAAAAUAGAGGAAAAAAAUUAAUUUAACCUAUAAUAUAAAUAAUAUAUAUUAUGUACCAUUAAUAAAUAAAAUAAUUUUUAGGAAAUGAAAUCGUAUACACAAUAACAACAAUAAUAAGUAGCCAUAAAUAUAAAGCGUAUACAAAAUUAAUACAGAUCAAUAUAGAGAGUAAAUGAAAGUUAUAUUGCAACAAAGUAAUUAAUGUUAAGAACGAUAGUAGAAUUUUAAUUAUUUGAUGAAAGAAAAGCAACAAGGUACUAAAUCACAUUACAGAAGUUUCCUUCCCCCAAUUGACUUCCCUCUUAACGCCCAAAUCCUCAGCUACCUGCAUAUAACAAAACAUAUUAUUUCCUUCACAAUAGUUAAGUAUUGAUAUAUAUGAUCAUUUCUUACCUUAAUUAAAACAGUGAGAUUAUUGAACAUAUAGUCUGAAUCAAUGUGAGCAAAAGAAGCACAAUUGCAGCAACUGUAGAUGCUAUUUUCCAAGGAGUGUUGAAGUACUCGUGUAUGAAUAUAGCCUUGUACUUGUUGCGAGGGUUUUCAUAGAAACCAUUUAAGCUAUCGCAGAGAGAGUAGUAGUGUGAAUUAAAACGUGGCACAGCAAGAUUUGAGUCCAGAUUGUUAACCAUUGUAGCCACUUUGUUAGCAUCACCCAUCCAAUUGACAAUAAUUUUGUUAUCAACUAGUACAUUCACAUCUUUUUCAGUGUUGAUAAGAAAGUUUAGAAUCACUAGGUAUUGAGUAAUGCUGUUUGUAUCAUAUGAAAGGUGACAUUCCUCAAAUGUCAAUAUAUUCCUGAAGAACACUUCUGAAUUGUCAGUUAUAUUCAAGAUUGGCAUUGUCAACACACCCUCAUCGGAAUAGGUCAUGUCAAGUAAGCAUUCAUUUUCAUUUGGACUGACCUUGAAUUUAAGACCUGCCUCCCGUAGUUGGCUUGCACUGUAUACAUGUUUUAUACCUUUGCAUUCUUUUUGUUCUCUAGGAACAAAUUUUGAUGACGAUAUUAUACUAGUUCUCAUAAGAUCGGUGAAGUGCUUUGGGGACUCUGUUGGACACGAUGUUGUUCCAUAUCCCACAUGCUUCAAACAGUUGAAAGAAAUCUGAAGAAAGGUGGGAAAUUCCUGAUUCAUACCAGCGAUGUUGUAAAGUUGUUCAAGAACAAAGAAAGGAAGCUGAUUUUCUAGUAGUAUCAAGUCCCUCCAAAUUUGCAUUUGCAUCCAGUCUUUUAGCAACACAGGGUCCUUUCCCUGCCAAUCUCCAUAUGUAUGACAUCUCAAAAAAUGCUCGAUUAUGAAGCAAGCAUCAAUUAGAAUCAUCUUUAAGAAAUCAUCGCUGUUAUAUUUAAUAUGCACUGCAUAACACCUUCGAAUUUCGUCUUCCAAGUUUUGAAGUGUGUCAACAAAGGUUCCCACAGGUACUUGGGUUCGAUUUAGAAAUGCCUUGAGAUACUUCACUUUAAGAUCUUCCAUUGACUCAAAAAUGCUGUCUUCCUUUCCAGCGUCACGUGCUUUGUGAAAAGGGCCAAUUGAAACCAUUUGAGGUGUGUAGGCUUUGGGAUUAUUUUCACGAAUGGCUGGUGGUACUCUAUAAAUGCAUUGCAUAUCGAAUCCAUACAUUUCUGGAGGUUCCACAUUUUGAAGCUCGUUGGUUAAAUGUUGUCUCCAAACAUUGUUGUUUACUUAAUGAAUCACUUGUUUGUCCUUCCAUUUUGAUAAAAUUCUGUAGCUAUGAGAUUGGUAGACAUUGAUAGCCAACAUGAAGUUAGAUCAAGUAUAAUAUUAAUAAAUUUGUUUAAAAUUUCCCUAGUUAUGGAACCAAGAGGCAAAGAUAUACUAAUAAAAAAGGACUCAGACAGAAUAUGACAGAAAUGUUGGAUGUAAUUAAUAGAUUUUAAAAAUUAUAGGUUACAGUGCAGUUAAGAUAAAGCAUAAAGAAUAAUUGUAAUAUUAGUAUAGCAAAGAAUUAACUAAAAAAAAUGUCGACAAAUGUUUCAAACAAUGGUGGAUCAACCUACAAAGGUACGGGACUAUUCUCUCCAAAGAUAUAUUACAUCACUCAUUUUCUUAUUUCUACACUAACCCCUUAAUAUUUAAUAUUUAAAAAUAUUAUGCUAACAUCUUUUAUAUAUUAUACUGACUUCCUUAAUAUUUGAAAAACAUUACACUAAUUCUUCUUUAUAUAUUAUACUGACAUCCUCUAUAAAUAAGCGACUAUUGUAAUCAUUAUAAAAGAUAUUGUUUGUAAUUUAAGAAAUCUCAAGGAGUGUUAAUAUAAUUGUUCCAGUUCUUUUUAUUUGAAUAUAUUCAGUAAUUUUUAUCUUCCCCCAUAAAAAAUGGUGUUAUCCUCAUCAAACUCUUGUUUUAAAAAAUGGAUAUAAAAGGUUAUUAGAGAUUUUUGCCCCAUCAUGAUCAUUGUAAUUUUUAAAAGUUUGGCUUUUAAUUUUUUUAAUCAUGACAUUAUAUAUUUAAUAAAAGUGUGUAAUAUUUUUUUUUAUAAAAUUUAUAAUUUUUUUACUCCACUGAAAAAUAAAUAAUUGACAUUAAAAUAAAUGAAAAAUAAUUUAUCUGCCAAUUUGUUUUUUAAAAAAACAUUAUUGUAAAUAUAAGAUUUUUUUUUAUCUAAUUAAUUAGUGUGACUUUCAACUUUUGGAUUAAUUAAAUUCAAAUAAAGAAAUGAUUUUAUUUAUCUUUAUUGAUUCCGGUUCAAACAAGAAUAAUUGAAGAUGUUUCAAGUCUGUUUCUUUUACCACUCAAGGUAGCUUCUUAGUUAAUUAUUGUUUUGAUAAUGGUAACAAUUGGAUUUAAAAAAAAUCAAACAAAAGCAUGCACAUGAUAGAAAUUAUAUUGGUUCUUUGAACAAAAGGAAGCAAACAAGAAAAUAUAAUUCCGAAAUUGGGGAUAAUUCAUUUGAAGAUACAUCACCAAAAUUGGAUAGAGUCCACCAUUUGUAUUAAAGGGAGACUUAAUACACAUGUUUUUUAAAGAUUGGAGGAUUAAAAUGAAAUAUAAAUGUAUAAGUCACUAUUACAAAAUAUUGUUUUUAUGACGCAUAAUUUAUGACGGUUCUCAAGAAUCGAUUUAGUAUAUGACGUGAUGGUAAUUUUAUAAGAUGGUUAUAAUAGUAUCCGUUGUAGAAGUCACAGUUAUAAGUUAUAUUCACAGACAGUUAGUAAUCGUCAUAGAAAGUUAAUGAUGUAAUUUUUAUUCUAAGAUGAUUAUAGAUACAACCGUUAUAGAAAAAUGAAUUUAUUAAGACAAUGGGUCUUCUAAGGUGUCAUCUAUAGAACACAUUCUAAAACAGUUGUUUAUAUAAUCAUCUUAAUAUGUCUUAUUUUAUAAGACAUGUGGAUAACCAUCUUAAUAAAUGAUGCACUAUUUUAUGACACCUUUAUUUAAGACGGUUAAAAACCAUUAUAAAAUGGUUUGAAGAACCGACUUAGAUUCAUGUUUGUGUAGUAAUGAAUUUAUAAUCAAAUUUUACCGAAAAUAUAAGAAUUGAAAAUAUAUUUCAUAAAAAUAAAAAAAUAAAAUCGGAAGGAGAGACACUUCAAAAUUAUCGUUAAUGCUACAAUACAUGUCUUGACUAAAUAAAGCAAAAAGGAGGAGAAGGAACCUGAUGCUGAAAUUGUUGAGGAAUAUAUAAGAUUAAUAUUCAGUUCUGAUUGAUCUCAUUUUGCCGGAAUGCCUCCAGCUUUAUAUAGUAAUAUUCCUUGCAGGCGUUCUUCAAAGUCAACACCAUCAUGUAUGAACAGAAUUCGAAAGCUGUGAUUACUUGCUCUUUGUUAAUGUAUUUAGUCAAUUGUCGAACAAUUGGCUCUUAGUAUAGCUAUAAUUAAUUGCAGCUGUCACAUGCAUUCAAAUAUGUCAUGAAAUGUAAUUAAUAAUUUUUUUUUUAAAUUAUAGGGUAUAAUGCAAUUUGGAUAAGAGAUACAAAAUAAAUGUAAUAUUGACAUAGAAACAAAAUAAAAAAGUAUUGAUCAAUGUUCCAAACGAGAAUAUUAACUAUUGUAAAUAUUGUCCAAUAAUUUUAACGUUUUAGUUAUUUACUCAUAUAUUUAGUACAUUUUUAUUAAAUAAAAUACAAGUCAUUAAUUACUCAAUUAUAUUACUCAUAUAUGUUGCCAUGAUAUGUUAAUGAUGACAUAAAUUAUAUGGAGAUGAGAAUCUAUAUUCAUCUAAUUUUUAAAAUUAUUUUAAUUUGAUGGUGCUGUCUAAAUUGAUCAAAUGGAAUUAGGAAACCUUAUUAAAUUUAUAUAGUAUUUUAAAAUCACUUAUUAAAAUCAUAGGGUAUACCGCAGUUAAGAUAAAGCAUAAAGAAUAAUUGUAAUAUUAGUAUAGAAAAGAAUUAACUAAAAAAAAUGUCGACAAAUGUUUCAAACCAUGGUGGAUCAACUACAAAGGUACGUGACAGUUCUUUCCAAAGAUAUAUGACAUCACUCAUUUUCUUACUUCUACGCUAACUCCUUAAUAUUUAAUAUUUUAAAAAAAUUAUGCUAACAUCUCUUAUAUAUUAUAUUAAGUUCCUUAAUAUUUGAAAAACAUAGCACUAAUUCUUCUUUAUAUGUUAUACUCACAACCUCUGUAAAUAAGUAAGACUAUUGUAAUCAUUUUAAAAAAAAUUGUUUGUAAUUUGAACAAAUCUCAAGGACUGCUAAUAUAAUUGUUCUAGUUAUUUUUAUUUGAAUAUAUUCAGUUAUUUUUAUUUUUUCCCCAUAAAAAAUGGUGUUAUCCUUAUCAAACUGUUUUUUUUAAAAUGGAUAUAAAAGGUUAUUAGAGAUUUUUGACCCCAUCAUGAUAAUUUCAAUUUUUAAAAGUUUGGUUUUUAAUUUUUUUUAUCAUGACACUAUAUAUUUUAUUUAAGUGUUUGAUAUUUUUUCAUAAAAUUUAUAAUUUUUUUUACUCCACUGAAAAAUAAAUAAUUGACAUUAAAAUAAAUGAAAAUAUAUAAAAAUAGAGUAUUGCAAUUAGGUUAAAACAAAUAAAAUUAAUAAUUUACAUUAAAAUAAAUUGAAAAUAAUUUAUCUAUCAAUCUUAAAAAAAACAUUAUUGUAAAUAUAAGUUAUUUUGUUUAUCUAAUCAGUUUGACUUUCAACUUUUGGAUUAAUUAAAUUCAAAUAAACAAAUUAUUUUUUUUAUCUUUAUUGAUUCCUGUUCAAAUAAGAAUAAUUGAAGAUGUUUCAAGCCUUUGUUCUACCACUCAAGGUAGCUUUGUAGUCCUGAUCCUUGUUUUAAUAAAAGUAACAAUUGGAUAAAAAAAAAUCAAACAAAAGCAUGCACACGAUAGAAAUUAUCUUGGUUCCUUGAAUAAAAUGAAGCAAACAAGAAAAUAUAAUUCCAAAAUUGGGGAUAACUCAUUUGAAGAUACAUCACCAAAUUUGGAUAGAAUCCACCAUUUGUAUUCAAGGGAGACUUAAUACACAUGUUUUUUUAAAGUUUGAGGAUUAAAAUGAUCAAUAUAAAUGUAUAAGAUUAUAAUCAAAUUUUACCGAAAAUAUAAGAACUGAAAAUAUAUUUUAUCAAAAGAAAGAAAAGAAAAUCAGAAGGAGACACUUCAAAAUUAUCGUUACGGCUACAAGAUAAUACAUGUCUGACAAUAUAUAUAUAUUCUUGUAUGGAUCGAAAUGAAAAAUAUAGUAACUAUUUAACUAAAUAGAGCAAAAAGGAGGAGAAGGACCCUGAUGCUCAAAUUGUUGAGGAAUAUAUAAAACUGUUUAAUAAUUUUUUUUAAUAAAAUUUAUAAAUUAUUUUUUUUACUCCACUGAAAAAUAAAUAAUUGACAUUAAAAUAAAUGAAAAAUAUAUAAAAAUAGAGUAUGACAGUUAGGUUACAACAAAUAAAAUUAAUAAUUGACAUUAAAAUAAAUUAAUAAUAAUUUAUCUAUCAAUUUUAAAAAAACAUUAUUGUAAAUAUAUGAUAUUUUGUUUAUCUAAUUAGUGUGACCUUUAACUUUUGGGUUAAUUAAAUUCAAAUAAAGAAAUGAUUUUAUUUAUCUUUAUUGAUUCCGGUUCAAAGAAGAAUGAUUGAAGAUGUUUCAAGUCUUUCUUCUACCACUCAAGGUAGCUUUGUAGUCCUGAUCCUUGUUUUUAAUAAAAGUAACAAUUGGAUUAAAAAAAAAAAAAGCAUGCACCCAAUAGAAAUUAUCUUAAUUGGUUCCUUGAACAAAAUGAAGCAAACAAUAAAAUAUAAUUCCAAAAUUGGGGAUAAUUCAUUUAAAGAUACAUCACCAAAAUUGGAUAGAAACCAUUAAAGGGAGACUUAAUUAACACACAUGUUUUUUAAAGUUUGAUGAUUAAAAUGAUCAAUAUAAAAGUAUAAGAUUAUAAUCAAAUUUUACCGAAAAUAUAAAAAUUGAAAAUAUAUUUUAUCAAAAUAAAAAAAAAAAAAUUAGAAGGAGAGACACUUCAAAAUUAUCGUUAAUGCUACAAGAAGAUACAUGUCUGACCAUAUAUAUAUAUAUAUGUAUGUAUGAAUUGAAAUGAAAAAUAUAAUGACUAUUUAACUAAAUAGAGCAAAAAGGAGGAAAAGGAACUGAUGCUCAAAUUGUAGAGGAAUAUAUAAGAUUAAUCUUCAGCAAUUCACCAUGUCUGAUUGAUCUCAUUUUUCCGGAAUAAUGCUUCCAGUAGUUCUUCAAAGUCAACACCAUCAUGUAUGGGUAGAAUUCGAAAGCUGUGAUUACUUGCUCUUUGUUAAUAUAUUUAGUCAAUGAUAAUAUUAUUGUAUGUUCUUUCCGGCUGGAUUAAUGUAUGAUUCAAUUGUCGAACAAUUGGCUCUUAGUAUAGCUAUAAUAAAUUGCAGCUGUCGCAUGCAUUCAAAUAUAAUAUGACAGACAUAUGUCAUGAGAUGUAAUUAAUAAUUUUUUUAAAAUUAUAAGGUAUAACGCAAUUUGGAUAAGAAAUACAAAAUAAAUGUAAUAUUGACAUAGAAACAAAAUAUAUAAAAAAAAUAUUGAUCAAUGUUCCAAACGAGAAUAUUAACUAUUGUAAAUGUUGUCCAAUAAUUUUAACGUUUUAGUUAUUUACUCAUAUAUUUAGUACAUUUUUAUUAAAUAAAAUACAAGUAUUUAAUUAAUCAAUUAUAUUAUUUUUGUUUUUUUUACAUAUUCACUCUUGAAAGAAAAAACUCUAUUAACAUGAUUGUAUAAUUUAGAUCCCUUAAAAUUUUGUAAUACACAUUUGGUUUCUCAAAUUUUUAUAAUUUACCAAUUUUACUCUACUAUUAGUGUGUUGUCUAUUUUUAACAAAAAAUAUGUUGACAUGAUAUGUUAAUGAUGACAUAAAUCAUAUGGAGAUUAGAAUAUAUAUUCAUGUGUUUGUUAGAAGUUAAAGACUUAACUCAUUUUUAAGAAUUUAUUUUUUACGUGUUUCUUCAUCAUCCUAUUCACAUAUAAAGGAACAGCAAUCUUACAUGUUUGAGAUCGAUCAUUUCUCUUUUUUUCUUAUUCAACGUCAUUUAUUUAUUUAUUAAUAUUUUUAUUUUUAAAUUAAAAUAAAUUUAAAAAUUCCCAAGAAUUAAAAUUAUGUACCAAAUAUUUUUUUUUAACUAAAGUGAUUUAUUUCAUAUUUUAAUAACCAUAUAAUAUUGGUUAAAUUAGUUUGUUGGAUCUCUAUUUUAUUUUUUAGGUUUGAUAUGCUUUUUUAAUUUUUUUUAUUCAAUUUAAUUCUCUAAUUUUUUAAAUUAUUUUAAUUUGAUGGUGCUGGUUAAAUUGAUCAAAUGAAAUUAAGAAACCUUACUUUAUAUAGUAUUUUAAAAUCCCUUAGUAACGUCACAAAACACAUAUUUAGAUGGUAGAAUUUAGAGGACAGAAUGAGUCAAAUUAUCUAAGAUAUUUAGAUUAUACUGAUUUUGGAAUAUAUAGUUACUUUGUUUAUUUGUCAAAUGGAUUAUAAUUUAAUUAUUAAUAUGCUUCCCUUUAACUUGCAAAUCUAUUCUACUUACCAUAAAGAAAUCAAGCUAAGCUAUGUUAGUUUGAUGACGAAUACUUCGUGAGAAAAAUAUAUAUUCUUGCUGGGAGCAGAGUGAAAACUCCAUGUUAAUACCACUUCAAAUUGUUUGAUUUUAGUUUAACUUAGUACGUAAUAAUUCAAGCGUGAUGUGAAAGAUAAAAUUGAACAAAUAAUACCAUCCAGAGCAUAUUUUGCUUCAAAUUUGCCGUUGAUGUAAAAUUUAAUCUACAAAAAUUAAAUUGAAAAAUUUUAACUAAAUUUAUUGAGGCAUUAAAAUGAUAUGUUUCUACAUGAUGAGAAACAAUUUGAAUGACAUUGAAGUUGUGUUGGAUCAGCAUGCUAGGUGUCAUUGGUGGUGUUUAUAUAGAGUCAUGCAUAGAUGAGUCACACAGUAAAGGUUGAAUGAUCAAUAACUAUUAGAUACAAGUUGAAUUGAAUAGGAGAGGGUGCUUACGCAGAACCACGCCAAUCCACCGAUGCAUGCACCAGUGCCAAGACCAAAAGCAUAUGCAGGGUGAGAAGGACAAAAAAAAAACUAAAGUAACUCACACACCUUGCCAUAAAAACUAUAGUACAAUUUAUUAGGUAGUAUAAGACUGUUAAGUAUCUAUGAUCUUAAUUAAUCUUCAUACAAUAUAUAUUUAAGUUUUUCAAGGUUAUCAAAUUAGGAUUUGAAUUGUGAAUUGUUGAGCUAAUGAAUAAUUACUUCAAAUAUCAAUGGUCAAUGCAAAAAAAAUAUACAAAUAAAUAAAUAAAAUAACUUAAACAGAAGUAUUGCAGAAGAAAAUUAUUAGUUAUAUGAGUUUUAUGAAGCCUUUAUUUUAUAAGAAAGAAAAUGAAGCAAUUGAAUAACUAAAUAGAACAUAUGUGUUCAAUGAGUGAAUGACAAAUAAAGUAGUGAAAUAAAGUAGUGAAAAUAAGUUCAGAAAGUAUUUCUUUAAGUUUUUUUUCAUGCUAAAAUUUAAGCUUAUAUAUCUUAUCAGUUUUUUCAUGAGAAAUGGUGAAAGUAGAAAGAGAAAGAAAAAAAUUAAUGAAUCAUUGAAUUGUAUGAUUCGUAUUGAAGAUAUGAAAUUGCAUAGAUUCAUUCAUAUAUUGUGAGAUGUGAAGUUAUAUAAUACGAAUAAAUAACUGAAUCAUAUUGAAUUGUAAUAUUUGAAUUGUGCGUGAAAUUGUAAGAUUACAAUUACUAUAGCAAUAACAUAUAGUAAAACAAUAUACAUACAUACAUAAGGAUGCCUUUGAACCCGUUGUGCCCAACCAAACACGGUAAGAUAUAUUAAUUGAUUCAAAAUGUACAAGUUUUUUUUUUUUACAAGCAUUCAAAACGUACAAGAACGAAGGAAGACAAUAUAUUUUGCUUGAUUUAUUUAUUCCUAAGUUCCCCUUGGUUUGAAUUAUUGAUUACUUUACAUUAACACAAGCAAAAUGACUAUAUCAUUAAUCCAAGUUCCGGGCUAGAUAGAGUGGCAUAGCACACAACUCCCAUAGAUUUUUCAGGGGCUUUUAUUAUUGAAGGGUCUCCCAAAAUUAAUGGAGAUUGUGGAAAUGGCUUGGUCCUGAAGGAGGAAUAAAGCCUUUUAGAAGGAAAUUGGAACCUUUACCUGAAUCCAUUAGCAUCAUAGAAGCUCCUUUUUUGUUAUUUUCUUGCUCCAUAGACUGAAAAUUUGGUCGAGUUGCACACACACUGGUAUUGUUUGCUAAUAACUUAUUAUUUAUCAGUUGUGACUCGGCUCGUUCGCUCACAAUAGUUAAGUGUGUGUGUAUAUAUAUAUAGAUCAUUUCUUACCUUAAUUAAAACAGUGAGAUUAUUGAACAUAUAGUCUGAAUCACUGUGAGCAAAAGAAGCACAACUGCAGCAACUGUAGAUGCUAUUGUCCAAGGAGCGUCGAAGUACUCGUUUAUGAAGAGUCUGAACCUAGCCUUGUACUUGUUGCGAGGAUUUUCAUAGAAUUCAUUUAAGCUAUUGCAGAGAGAGUAGUAGUGUGAAUUGAAGUCUGGCAUUGCAAGAUUUGAGUCCAGAUUGUUAACCAUUGUAGCCACUUUAUUAGCAUCACCCAUCCAAUUGACAAUAAUUUUGUUAUCAACUAGUACAUUCACAUCUUUUUCAGUGUUGAUAACAAAAUCUAGAAUCACUAGGUAUUGAGUAAUGAUGUUUGUAUCAUCUGAAAGGUGACAUUCCUCAAAUGCCAAUAUAUUCCUGAAGAACAUUUCUGAAUUCUCAGUUAUAUUCAAGAUUGGCAUUGUCAAAACACCCUCACUAGAAUAGGUCAAGUCAAGUAAGCAUUCAUUUUCAUUUAGACUGACCUUGAAUUUAAGACCUGCCUCCCGUAGUUGGCUUGCACUGUAUACAUGUUUUAUUCCUUUGCAUUCUUCUUCUUCUCUAAGAACAAACUUUGAUGACGAUAUUAUACUAGUUCUCAUAAGAUCGGUGAAGUGCUUUGGGGACUCUGUUGGACACGAUGUUGUUCCAUAUCUCUCAUGCUUCAAACAGUUGAAAGAAAUCUGAAGAAAGGAGGGAAAUUCCUGAUUCAUACCAGCGAGGUUGUACAGUUGUUCAAGAACAAAGAAAGGAAGCUGAUUUUCUAGUAGUAUCAAGUCGCUCCUAAUUUGCAUUCGCAUCCAGUCUUUUAGCAACACAGGGUCCUUUCCCCGCCAAUAGUUGUAUCUAUAGAGUCUCAAAAAAAGCUCAAUUAUGAAGCAAGCAUCAAUUAGAAUCAUCUUUAAGAAAUCAUCGCUGUUAUAUUUAAUACGCACUGCAUAACAACUUCGGAUUUUGUCUUCCAACGCAUGAAGUGUGACAACAAAGGUUCCCACAGGUACUUGGGUUCGAUUUAGAAAUGCCUUGAGAUAGUUCACUUUAAGCUCUUCCAUUGACUCAAAAAUGCUGUCUUCAUUUCCAGCGUAACAUGCUUUGUGAAAAUGGCCAAUUGAAACAAUUCGAGGUGUGUAGGCUUUGGGAUUAGUUUCACGAAUGUCUGGUGGUACUCUAUAAAUGCAUUGCAUAUCGAAUCCAUACAUUUCUGGAGGUUUCACAUUUUGAAGCAUGUUGGUUAAUUUUGUCUCCAAACAUUGUUGUUCAUUCAUUGUAUCUCUUGAUUGUCCUUCCAUUUGGUUAAAAUUCUGUAGCUUCGAGAUUAAUAGAUCGACAUUAAUUGAUAACGAACAUGAAAUUGGACCAAGGAUAAUAUUGAUAAAUUUCGUUACAGUUUCCCUAGUUUUUUUAAGAGAGCAAUAAAAUUUCCCUAAGAGACAAUAAAAAGGACUCAAACAUUACAAAGGCUUUAAAUGAAGGUAAUAGAUUUUGUUAAGUUAUAAGGGUAUACCACAAUUAUGUAAAACAUACAAAAUAAAUGUAUAUUAGAAUAAUUUUUUAAAGAAUAAAAUGUCGACCAAUGUUCCAAAAUUAGAAUAUUAACUGCCGAAAUAUUGUCCAAUAAGUUUAACUUUUCAGUUAUUUUAUCAGUCUUUACAUUUUCAUUUCCAUUAAUUAUAAAACAUGUAAUUGCUCUUUUUUUUGUUUUUUAUACACUCAAUUUAUAUAUAUAUGCUUUUUAUAUGUUUCAAAAUAAUAUGAAUUACUACUACUAUUAUCUUGUGAGUUAUGUCCUUGUCUAUACCCAAUUCUCUAAUUAUUUUUACAUUCUUUUAGGAGUAAAUAAUUAUAUAUGUCAAAAAAUAAUAAUUGCGUUCAAAAUAUGUGCUUUUAUAAUUUAUACAUGUCAUAGAAAAGAAAAAUAAUAGCGGAAAUAAUAUUAAAAAGUUUUUUUUGUUUCUUUAGAACUUAUAAAGUUAGCUUUAAUACAAUGAGACACAAGAAAUAACUGCAGUAAAAAUCAACACCUAAAUACGAAGUCAAGAGUUUAAAUUGUAAAGUCACCACGUUGAAGAAAGUUAUACCAAAUUAUCAGCUUGGAAAUUACGUGAAAAAUCAAUAUGCAUUGAAAAAAAUAAAAAUUAUAAUUAAAUAAAUAUUUAAUUUUUUUGUCUCUAAUAAUGUUUUUUAUUUAUUUUAGUUCCCCUAAAUUUUGGUCACAUUUCGCGUGCCUUGAUUUUAUUUUUUUGGGCUCUUUUGUUUAUAUAUAUAUAUAUAUAUAUAUAUAUAUAUAUAUAUAUAUAUAUAUAUACACACACAAACACACUAAAGGAACCGCUAGCUGAGCCUAGUGAUGAUAAUUUGGUUAGUAUGAAUAAAAUGAUAAGUUAAAAUAACAAUUUAACUAUUAUACAAAAAAAAUAUUUAAAAUAACAUGAUCUUUAUGUGUGCAUGAAAAAAAAAUUAGUAAUUUAUAAUUAGAUAAUAAUGUAGAAUUAUUUUAAGAUUAUCUAGUUCCUCUAUGUAUGAUUUUCUCACAUUUAUUUUCAUUUGAAUACUCUCUUUUCAUAAAAAGGUGAAUUUCAUAGCUUCUAACACGCAUAUAGGUGAAUUCCAAGUAAACCGAACUUCAGAACAUGAAUUGAAACAAAGCACAAUCAAUCAAAACUAAUACCAGUAUAGAAAUACACAUAUUCAGUGUGAAGUCACAGGGUCAAAGAAAACUCACUCAAUUAGAACUUCAGAAGCAGAGUACAACAAUCUCUUCUGUGCCUCUUUCAAGGACUCUUAAUGCUUCUUUAUUUUAAUGAGUUUUCUGUUCCUUCUUAUCAUUUCUCUGCCUCUUUGCUUCCCUUUUACGUGCAUGUCUAUUUUUUUCAUUGUUAAUUGUUAUUUAUAUUCUUGCUCCUUCUACCCUCCAUUCUUUGCGUGUUCUGCACCUCUUCUCAAGUUCUGAUGCUCGCUCUUUUUUCAUUCGUAUCAAAUUUAUCUAUUUUCACUCUUUCUUUUGAACAAAUUAACCAAUUAACUUUGAUUCCCAAUCAAAUUUACAACUCUCCCCAUCUUCGGUAAUAGCAUAUGCAUAGUUUAAAAAAGGGUGAGUUUGAUACUUACCCAUUUCAAUCUGUUAUUUGUUCAGUAAUAUUUUCUAACUAAUCAAUGCACAUGUCCUUUUUAUUUAUUUGACGUCAAAGUACUGGAUUUCAUUCCAUCAAAGAAAAGGAAUCAUUUACAUCUUUAGCAAUAAUAGAGUUCACGCCACGAGGCAUUUCAUCAAUACAUUUCCUGAAAAUUUGAAGACAAGGAAGCAAGAUUACGUGUUGCCUUCUAUACGUGUCAAAUUAAACUAUUAAUUAUUUCAAGAGGAAUGUCAGCUAUAAUACUUACUUUCUAACAUUCUCUAAUCGAUUUCAUUGAAAUUUAUUUAAAAUUAUUAAAUUUCGGUGGAUUCCACUUUUAAAUCUUGAUAAAGACCAAAAUUAAUGAUUUUUUUUAUAGAUUUCAAUGACUGAGUAUUAAAAAUAGAAUGCACUAGUAUUUAUUUUAUUAAUGGGAAAUAUGAAAACACAAUAACAAACUCUAUAAUAGAUUAAUAAAUAACAGUCUCUUAAACUUGUAAGAAUCUUGAGAAGCGCCAAUGAAAUAUAGAAAGCAAAAUAGAAAUUAAGAAGAAGAAAAAAAAAAGAACAGAGACACAAUUUGUUUAACGUACAAAAUCUUUCAAUGCAAAGGUAAAACACCAGGGGUCGUCCAGACUAAGAAAUAAUUCUACUUUAAUCAAUGAAGAUAUAAGAGAACCUCAAAACUUGCUACAAUCUCAAAUCAAACCAAACCUCCAAUUAAUAUAAUAGAAACAAAAAAAAACCCAAAAUAUAUAACAAAUAAUGCGAAACACUUAUCUCUAUCUAUAGAUAUCUUUUUCGUGAUCCAACCUAACAAUUUGAAGUAUCAUGCGCGUAGAACAUGUUGUUCAAAAAUCAAUCCAAUCCAACGGUAAAGGAAUCCAUAGUUGUAAUAUGAAAAAUGCUCUUCAGCGGGUAUUCAAAAAAUCACAAUGAUUUUUCCUCUCCUUUUUCUCUUACCUAUUUUUUCCUCUCAAAUGAAUCUCUCUUUAAUGUGACCCCUCUUUACUUAAAUAAGUGAAACAUACGAAUUUUCUCAUUUGAAUCUUUACUCCACAUACUAAGAAAGCCGAAACUACAUAUAAUCAUCAUUAUUUGAGGCAAAUAGCGCAUCAAUUUCUCAAACUACAUAUAAUCAAUUGUUGUUAAUAAAAGCGAGUAGCAAAAAAGAUCCCAUCCUUGUGUCCAAAUGUAAGCAUAUCCUAAAACUCGCACGACUUUGUGAACUAUUUGGUAGUUCUUCCAUUAUUUCCUUAAUUUUUCCUAGCUUGACAUGGUGAAAGUAAAUGGUAUAUCAAAAGUAAUUCCAUCGUGAAGGAAUUGAUAGAGAAUUCCUUACUCACUUUGCUGCAAGUCAAAUCUAUGAAGAAAGGGGUUAACGUUUGAAAAUCUGGAAAUUCUUAAAUGGCUCUCUUUUUUGCAUUAGAUAAGACUUUUUUUUCUGCAGUAAAAAUAGUAUUAUAAUUUAAUUGUUUUGGUUCAUGCCUUUACGUGCCUAAAAAAUAUAGCAGUUUCUGUUUUUAUUAUGUAUUGUCACGACAGGGACUAAAACAAGUGAAGAAGAAUAUUUUAUGGAUCAAAAUCAAAAGAUAGGACUAAAAAAAGUGUCAUAUUUACAAGAAUAAAAAACAUAUUUAGGUAAUUAUUUUAUUACAUUGCUGAAAUGAAUCCAAUAUUUGUACCAUAUAUGUAGACAACUAAUUAAGGAAAUUUUUAGUUCGCCUUUUUUUGUUCUUGAUUGUAGUUUAUAGCUCUAGGUAAUUGUUUGGUUAAAAAUUUUAGAUGUUAAUUUAUAGGGAAUUAUCAUUUUUGGUUCAUUAUUUUUUAGAAUUUUUUUUAUAUUGAUAGGUUUAGUUUUAAAAUUUUUAUUUUAGUCCUUUAUGUUUUUAAAAGUUUUAUUUUGAUACAUUAAAUUUUAAAAUUUUUAUUUUGGUUAUUUAUAUUUUUUGAAACUUCUAUUUUAAUAUUUUUUUUUUGUUUUCUGUAAAAAAUAUUAGUGUUAUGUUAAUCUUGGGUUUCUAGGCAUUUGGAUUUGGUAUAUGUGAGGGUAUUGUUUUGUAAUGGUAACUAGGAACACAAAAAAAUUAUUAGGUUUGACUUGUGAAAAAAAUAAGUGGUUCAAACGUGAUUUAUUUAUUUAAAUGAGUUUAAUUAAAAGUUAGGAUUUGUUUUGUUUAAAAAAAAAAAGAAACUAAAGUUUACGCUUGAUUUGUCUUAUUUAAAAAAGUAAAGCUUAAAUUCGGCUUGUCUUAGCUUAUUCAAUUCACUUAUGACUUAAUUUUCUUAAUUUAAAAAAGAAAUUAUUAAAUUAUUUAACUUAAUUAAUUUAGUAUUUAAUAAAAAUAGGUUAUUAAACAUGUAAUAUGAUAUGGUGAGACUUACGUGUGUGUGUAUAUAUAUAAACAAAUUAUUCAUUAGUCGAACUUGAGAAGUUUACGAAUAUUUUGACUCAUUUAUGCUCUUAAUUGUAACACUUUGAUUCUCAUCUUAUUUUUAUUAAAUUUUUUUUUUCAUUAUUUCUAAUCAUCAAUGUACUGGAAAACUUAAAUUACGAGAGACACAAUUAAGAAUAUUGAGUAUAUUCACUUAUAAUUUUUAAUAAUUUAUUUGAAACAAAGUGAAACAAUUGUUAAAAUAUUCAAAAUACACUUAAAAGUAGUUAUUAUUAGGGAAAAUUAAUAGAAGUAAUUAAAAGUUUGAGAAAAAUACAAUUCUAAGAUUAAAAUAGUAAUCAGAAUAAUAAAAUAUAAUUUAAGAAUUUUGGGAAUUAAUUAAAAUUCUUGUGUAAAAUGAUUAAAAUAUCCUUAAUUGACUGCAAAUGUAGAACCGUAGACUUUUUAACCAAAAUAAAAUUUAAGAAAUACUCUACAUUUUAAUUUUAAUUAUAAAAAUUAUUUUAAGCUUAAAAAUCUAAAAAAUUCAACAUCUAAUUUUUUUAACUAAAGUGAUUUAUUUCAGAUUUUCAAUAACAAUAUAAUCAUGGCUAAAUUAGUUUGUUGGUCCAAUAAUAUAUUUUUAGGUUUAAUUUUGUUCUCUUACUGAUCAUGAAUUCAAUUUAAUCAUCUAAUUUAGUGGUGAUUUUAAAUGGCUAAAAAAUAUACAUUUAGAUGGUUGGACAAAAUUUGCAUUACACAACCACUUGCAUUGAUUUUAAAAAUCAAAGGAUCAAAUUCAACAAAAAAAAAGACUAAAUCAAACUAAUCUUAAAAAUUAGAACAUGAAAUCAAAUAAAAAAAGAGAAAAAAAAAUUAAUUUAACCUAUAAUAUAAAUAAUAUAUAAUAUGUAUCCAUUAAUAAAUAAAAUAAUUAUUAGGAAAUGAAAUCGAAUACACAAUAACAAUAAUAAUAAGUAGCUAUAUAUAUAAAGCGUAUACAAAAUUAAUACAGAUCAAUAUAGAGAGUAAAUAAAAGUUAUAUUGCAACAAAUAAUUAAUGUUAAGAAGGAUAGUAGAAUUUUAAUUAUUUGAUGAAAGAAAAGCAACAAGGUACUAAAUCACAUUACAGAAGUUUCCUUCCCCCAAUUGACUUCCACUUCCCUGUUAACGGCCCAAAUCCUCAGCUACCUGCGCAUAACAAAACUUAUUAUUUAUCAGUUGUGACUCGGCUCGUUCCCUCACAAUAGUUAAGUAUUGAUAUAUAUAUAUAUAUAUAUAUAUAUAUAUAUAUAUAUAUAUAUAUAUAUAUAUAUAUAUAUAUAUAUAUAUAUAUAUAUAUAUAUAUAUAUAUAUAUAUAUAUAUAUAUCGUGAUUUCUUACCUUAAUUAAAACAGUGAGUUUAUUGAACAUAUAGUCUGAAUCAGUGGAGCAAAAGAGCACAAUUGCAGCAACUGUAGAUGCUAUUUUCCAAGGAGUGUUGAAGUAAUCGUGUUUGAAGAUAGCCUUGUACUUGUUGCAAGGACUUUCAUAGAAAUCAUUUAAGCUAUUGCAGAGAGAGAAAUACACUGGAUUGAAACGUGGCAUCCCAAUAUUUGAGCCCAGACUGUUAACCAUUGUAGCCACUGCAUUAGCAUCACCCAUCCAAUUGACAAUAAUUUUCUUAUCAACUAGUACAUUCACAUCUUUUUCAGUGUUGAUAAGAAAAUCUAGAAUCUUUCGGUAUUGAGUAAUGAUGUUUGUAUCAUCUGAAAGGUGACAUUCCUCAAAUGCCACUAUAUUCCUGAAGAACACUUCUGAAUCGUCAGCUAUAUUCAAGAUUGGCAUUGUCAACACACCGUCACUAGAAUAGGUCAAGUCAAGUAAGCAUUCAUUUUCAUUUGGACUGACCUUGAAUUUAAGACCUGCCUCCCGCAGUUGGCCUGCACUGUAUACAUGUUUUAUUACUUUGCAUUCUUCUUCUUUUCUAAGAACAAAUUUUGAUGAUGAUAUUAUGCUAGUUCUCAUAAGAUCGGUGAAGUGCUUUGGGGACUCUGUUGGGCACCAUGUUCCACAUCCCACACGCUUCAAGCAGUUGAAAGAAAUAUGAAGAAAGGAGGGAAAUUCCUGAUUCAUACCAGCGAGGUUGUAAAGUUGUUUAAGAACAAAGAAAGGAAGCUGAUUUUCUAGUAGUAUCAAGUCGCUCUUAAUUUGCAUUCGCAUCCAGUCUUUUAGCAACACAGGGUCCUUUCCCCGCCAAUAGUUGUAUCUAUAGAGUCUCAAAAAAAGCUCAAUUAUGAAGCAACCAUCAAUGAGAAUCAUCUUUAAGAAAUCAUCGCUGUUAUAUUUAAUACGCACUGCAUAACAACUUCGAAUUUUGUCUUCCAACGCUUGAAGUGUGACAACAAAGGUUCCCAUAGGUAUUUGGGUUCGAUUUAGAAAUGCCUUGAGAUACUUCACUUUAAGCUCUUCCAUUGACUCAAAAAUGAUGUCUUCCUUUCCAGCAUCACGUGCUUUGUGUAAAGGGCCAAUUGAAACAAUUUGAGGUGUGUAAGCUUUGGGAUUAGUUUCACGAAUGACUGGUGGUACUCUAUAAAUGCAUUGCAUAUCGAAUGCAUACAUUUCUGGAGGUUGGACAUUUUGAAGCUCGUUGGUUAAUGUUGUCUUCAAACAUUGUUGUUUACUUAAUGAAUCACUUAUUUGUCCUUCCAUUU